rnacentral:sRNA from 2 species
AGCUCCUUUGAAAGCCCCCUCCCUCCCAUGACGGACGAGGGGGAAGGGAAGGUUUUUUCGGUGGGGUUACGACGUCGCUCCCAGAAAUUACCCAUUCAGAGCAAAACGAAUAACAGUAAUCAUAACCUUGAAAUGUGUGCAGUUAGUUUUUUUUUUUUUUAACGCUGAGGCUACGGCUCGUGUACCAGCUGCAAACAGCAAGCGAACAAAAGAAGAAAGAAAGAAAGCAAGAUCAAACUCGACCUCUGGUCCUUACGUAGGCAUUUGUCAUCACUACACAGAGUGGUUACAUACAUACUCCGGACAAAGUCCAGGGCAAACAAGUCCCACCAACCCUCUAUACAUAUUAUUUCUCAGGGACUGUUGUUACGUUGUCUACCAUUUGUUGUUGUUUUGAGUUGAAACUUCCAAGCUCACAGCAACGAGAACAGAGGGUUUUUUUUUAUUUUUAAGUUCGCGCGCAAUCUCUGUUUGUUAUUUAUUUGAGUUUUACUCGGAACAUUGGUGAGAGAGGGGUAUCCAUGGAUUUCGUAUAUAUAUAUAACGAACUUAUACGGAGUACUAUCAUAUACAGGUAAUUAAAUUAAUUUGAACAGGCGCCACAGAAGUGGCAUCCAACUUAUUCUAUUUCUGCAAUAUAGAUUAUUUGCUGCUUCCUUUUGCUGAACUUAAUUCAACAGAAUCUCUCCUAUACUAAUCAGCAGUUGUGCUACUAAAUACGAUACAUCAUGUGCGAUGGUUAAUCUGGAGCUAGCUAACUUAACUACCAAGGUAUGGAUAUACGGUUCAUCAUGUGCGGUCGCUAAGGCAAACCACCCGACUCUGUAUAUAAUUGAAAUGUAGUUUUUCGCGUAUUUUCAGUAUUCAUAUGACCUGCUAGCUUCUUACAAUUAGCUUCGUCACCACCAUUUCUUGGAGUUCUCCUCGUCAAAGAAGACAAACAAGACAAACACGAGCAGGUACUCUCUCAUACCAUAUUAGCGUGGUGGUAUGAAGUGGGUGCUGAAGUACGUGAAAUUAUAAAUUUGCUUAAAAUUAAUUCUUGUCAAACAUUGAAAACCUAUCUUUAUAAGUCAUGCAGUAAAUUAGUUAGACGAAACUUAUAGAACUAAAAUUUGUAGCUUUUUAUGAUAUGAGACAGCAAAUAAAAAGUUGAAAUUUGUUUGUAUUUUGAGAUGGCCCGCUCGCUUAUGUGGCCCGCCAUUACAAAGCUUAUUUUUUUGAAUUCUCCCUCUCCCUAUCUCUAUCUUUAUUAUGUGGUAUUACGAAGACUUUGGUGAUGUAUCUUUAUUGAGAUAUUGUAUUAUGAAGAUGGAUGAUAUCGAGGAGCUCUGAUGUGGGGAUUUUUGUGCUAAUGCUAGUGAGAUAUAUAACAAGUAUCUAACACAGAUUACUCCCUCCCACUCAUCCGCCCACCUUCCUGCCUGCCUGCCUGCCUGCCUGUCUAUAAACAAUGUCAAGAUGUAGUGAUAUCUAGUGAUGAUAUCUAAUGGUAUGAAUAUCUAACAAUAUCUACCCAUGAUAUUUAUCGAUGAUGUUGAUUGCUCUGUGGCGGGUACGCAUUCCUGAGUAAUGUGGCGGCUUCCAUUCUUUUUUUCUUUUCUGUUUCUUUCACGCCAUUCCGACACUUAACCACUUUUGAAGUCAGAAAGGGCUUCUCUAAAGUAGUACUGAGUGUGAAAGAGUCAUGUUCCAGAGCAUUAGACUGAAUAUUUCAUCGGAAAGGGUC